CCACAGGGCGGCGGGUCAGGUUUCCGGUGCGAACGCGGAAACCGCCGGGCUGUGAGGUUACCGCUUGGGACUGGGCGCGCGCCGCGCUCUGUUCCGGUGUCCGUCCGCCACGAUGCCUCACUUGGAGAGCAUGGUGCUCUGUCGAGAGGCCCAAGUGUCCACCUUGCAGUCUCUGUUUGGAGAGAGACAUCAUUUCAGCUUUCCAUCCAUUUUUAUUUAUGGACACACUGCCAGUGGAAAGACCUAUGUAACACAAACAUUGUUGAGAACUUUAGAGCUCCCACAUGUCUUUGUGAAUUGUGUUGAAUGCUUUACUCUAAGGCUGCUUUUGGAACAAAUUUUGAACAAGUUGAGUCAUCUUAGUUCUUCAGAGGAGGGAUGUUCUACUGAAAUAACUUGUGAAACAUUUAAUGACUUUGUUCGCUUGUUUAAACAAGUAACCAAAGCUGAAAAUCUCAAGAAUCAGACUGUAUAUAUUGUUCUAGAUAAAGCAGACUAUCUAAGAGAUAUGGAAGCAAAUCUUUUACCUGGGUUUCUUAGGUUACAAGAAUUGACUGGCAGAAACGUGACUGUUCUCUUCCUCAGUGAAAUUAUUUGGGAAAAGUUUCGUCCGAAUACUGGAUGUUUUGAGCCAUUUGUCUUGUAUUUCCCUGAUUAUAGCAUAGGCAACCUUCAGAAGAUCCUGUGCCACGAUCAUCCUCCAGAGUACUCAGCUGAUUUCUAUGCUGCCUACAUCAAUAUUCUUCUUGGAGUUUUCUACACCGUGUGUCGGGAUUUGAAAGAACUCAGACAUCUGGCAGUACUUAAUUUUCCUAAAUAUUGUGAACCUGUCAUUAAAGGAGAAGCAAGUGAACGUGACACUCGCAAACUGUGGAAAAAUAUUGAACCUCAUUUGAAGAAAGCUAUGCAGACCGUUUACCUCAGGGAAAUAUCAAGUUCUCAAUGGGAAAAGCUACAGAAAGAUGACACAGAUCCGGGACAACUAAAAGGUCUCUCAGCGUACACUCAUGUGGAACUUCCAUAUUACUCUAAGUUUAUUCUAAUUGCUGCAUACCUUGCUUCAUACAAUCCAGCAAGAACUGACAAGAGGUUCUUCCUUAAGCAUCAUGGGAAAAUCAAGAAAACCAACUUUCUAAAGAAACAUGAAAAGACAAGCAAUCAUCUCCUUGGACCAAAACCAUUUCCAUUAGACCGAUUAUUAGCAAUAUUAUAUAGUAUAGUGGACAGCAGAGUGGCUCCAACAGCAAAUAUCUUCUCCCAGAUUUCCGUACAUUUCAGGUACUGUGUUAGAAAAAGGAUACAGAAGGGAAGAAAAUAGUCUGGCUUUCACACCCUUUCCCUUGUGCUGGUGCAGGUACCAGAUUGUAGCUUGUGUUAAGUUAAUGGUGAGUGUGUGUAUUUACUCAGGACAGGUAUAUGCAGAAUAAGUAAUACUUAAACACUUAAAGUGAAUCAUAACUGCUUACUAUUUAAAUACAGUAAUUAAAAAAUAAAAUAUUUGGUGGUUUGUUUUGGGGUGUUUUUUUUGCUUUAGUAGGACUUGGUCCUUGAUAUUAGAUAUUUGUUGUCUGCCUAAUGAUAGCAAAUUUGCUAUGUAGACCGUUGCCUUGUGAUAUGCCUUGAAUUUAGUAUUUGGAGCAAUGAUGUGUGAUACCUGUGUCAUAACUAAGUUUUGUUAACACCUAAUUAAAUAGUAACACUUGGAACUUAAGUGAUGGGCAGAUUAGCAGUGUACUGUAUGUGGCUGUAACAAGCUGUCUGAAUGACUUUCUUUAAAAAGCUAUGUUGCUAUAUUUCAAAUACUUCAUAAUUAUAUUCAUUGUUAUUUUUCUUGUAUAUUCAGUAUUUUAGACUAUGCUUUCAGAUUUUUAACCCAAAACACUUUAAGCAAAUAACCUUUUUACUUAAGUUAAUUUGCAUGUUGCAUAACAUUAUGGUUCUAGCAUUUUUACAAAAAGUAAUUACAUUUGUUAAAUGCUAGUCACAUAAUAUUAGAAAUCAUAGUUAAUAGAAUACUAAUACAUACUGAUUAGAAAGGCUUUGAUCCAUAUAAAAUGUAACAUCCUGAAAACUAGCUAUAAGAUAUUCAUAUAAAGUAAUUUGAGUCGGAAUAUUAUCUCUAUAUACAUUAAAUUUGGUGGCUAAAAGGGACAAUUUUUCUUUUUAAAAAAACCCGCAGUAUUGGAGUAUUAGAAAUGUGAAGAGCUAUUCCUUUGUAAUUUCUCUGUCCUUCCUUUGUCUUGUACCAGCAUUCCAGUGUCUCAGUAAUACUCAGCUGAAAUACUUGAUGCUAUUAAGAUUUGUCAUUGAAUCCUCAGUAGCUGGAUAAGAAAGACUAAUCCCACCUCUGCCUUCGCAUACGUGCUACACUGAGCUGGGGCGCUUUGACAUCCAGAGACAUCUGUCCAUCCACACUGACCAUCUUCUCAGACUGCUUAGGUAUCACUGCUCGUCUAGAGAUGUGGGUUUAUCAUAUUGUAAAGUGGAGCAAGAAGAUUACCUCUCUAGUGACCCUUCAGCUGUUAACCCUGGUUGGCCAUGACGAUCAGCUUGAUGGACCAAAGUACAAGUGCACAGUUUCACUAGACUUCAUCAGAGCUAUUGCAAGGACAGUGAACUUUGACAUAAUAAAAUACUUGUAUGAUUUCUUGUGAAAACAAGCUUCACAGCCAUAUGGACACUGUGACAAUGACUAAACCAAGCUGCGUUCAUCCAACUACUUGGCUGGCCAGGCAGAGGAGUUCUUUGGCUCUGUUGGAUUUGUCCAAACAGGUGCUGGCCCAGCAUGGAAUCGGUUGAAAAUAUUCUGAUUGGUCUUGGUGGAUGUGAGCAGAAGACUAUUUACCAGAGACCCUGGAGUAUUUGGAAGCAACGUGUUAAUUACAAACAGCAGGGUUUGAGCACAAUCUGUUCUAUUCUUAAUGAUGUUAUCUUAACACUGAAAUUGCCUGAAACCCAUUUACUUAGGACUACAUUUUGCUCUGUGAACUAUCCCUUGCGCUUUGAACAUGCCAGCAGCCCUUGUUUAUAUGCCCAGUCUUUUCACUUCUUCUCCACAGGAGCCUAUGCAGUUGCUUACCAGAGCAGAUUUCCUAAGGCCACCAUUUUAAAAGAUCAUGGUUGCAAAAAUAUAAUAAAUGAAGAGUCUUUUAAAAAUC